rnacentral:ribozyme from 1 species
UGCCCAGCAACUCCUAUCCCUACCUCCACGCGGUACCGGCCGGAAACUAUGAGCAACCUUAGGGAAAAUCGGGUAACCAACCCCGGUGGGAACUUUGGUCAUAGGCUGACAGGGAAGG